rnacentral:piRNA from 1 species
UGAUUAUAUAAGUAGGAACAG